rnacentral:lncRNA from 1 species
UCGCGCAUCACCGUCGCGCAGCGUCGUGCACUCUUCCAUCCUUCAUUCUCGAGCUUUCUUGUUCUUUCGCACCGCGUUUCACAGGUCGUUAGAUACCACGGAUCUCUUGAGAAAAUUACAGAAACCCACGUGGCAAGAAAAGUGGAUAUUUGGAAAAGGUUGAGCAGCUGACAGUCAACUGUGUAUUCGAAAUAUACAACAUACGUUUUAGAAAAUGACACGUAAAAGAAAAAGUAACGACUGCUAUUCAGAUAGACAUAAACGUCGACUCGUUGAACAACAAACUAAAUUAAGUAUUAUUAGAAUGAAGCACGUUAAGCACGUAUAGUACGAAAUGUAAAGUCGUGAACCAAACGCUUUUUUUAAAAUAUACAUGAAAACAAGUAUAGUUU